rnacentral:tRNA from 1 species
AGAAAGAUGACCGAGUGGUUUAUGGUGUAGGUCUGCUAAACCUAAGUGUAAUCUAUAAAAUUACACCAUGGGUUCGAAUCCCAUUCUUUCUG